rnacentral:SRP_RNA from 1 species
GUGGGGGUCGGUGGCAAGCGAAGCGCGUGAACCGGGUCAGGCCCUGACGGGAGCAGCCCUAAGCGAGGUCUUCGUUGUGCUGCCGACUCCCUUCUU